rfam:Lingula anatina scaffold2164, whole genome shotgun sequence.
AAAAUGGCCCUUUUCAGGGCCAACCAACUUUAACAGGAAAAUCUAA